rnacentral:rRNA from 1 species
GACGAACGCUGGCGGCGUGCUUAACACAUGCAAGUCGAACGGAAAGGCCCUGCUUUUGUGGUGUGCUCGAGUGGCGAACGGGUGAGUAACACGUGAGUAACCUGCCCUUGACUUUGGUAUAACUUCAGGAAACUGGGGCUAAUACCGGAUAGGAGCUCCUGCUGCAUGGUGGGGGUUGGAAAGUUUCGGCGGUUGGGGAUGGACUCGCGGCUUAUCAGCUUGUUGGUGGGGUAGUGGCUUACCAAGGCUUUGACGGGUAGCCGGCCUGAGAGGGUGACCGGCCACAUUGGGACUGAGAUACGGCCCAGACUCAUACGGGAGGCAGCAGGGGGGAAUAUUGCACAAUGGGCGGAAGCCUGAUGCAGCAACGCCGCGUGCGGGAUGACGGCCUUCGGGUUGUAAACCGCUUUCGCCUGUGACGAAGCGGGAGUGACGGUAAUGGGUAAAGAAGCACCGGCUAACUACGUG